GCUCCAUUAGCUCAGCGGUAGAGCAGCUGAUUCGUAAUCAGCAGGUCGCCGGUUCGAAUCCGGCAUGGAGCU
rnacentral:tRNA from 1 species